rnacentral:rRNA from 1 species
AUGCACGCUGACAGAAUGCUUAACCCCUGCAAGUCUCCUUGAACUUCGGUUUGGGUGGCGGACGGGUGAGUAACGCGUAAAGAACUUGCCUCACAGUUAGGGACAACAUUUGGAAACGAAUGCUAAUACCUGAUAUUAUGAUUUUAGGGCAUCCUAGGAUUAUGAAAGCUAUAUGUGCUGUGAGAGAGCUUUGCGUCCCAUUAGCUAGUUGGAGAGGUAACGGCUCACCAAGGCGAUGAUGGGUAGCCGGCCUGAGAGGGUGAACGGCCACAAGGGGACUGAGACACGGCCCUUACUCCUACGGGAGGCAGCAGUGGGGAAUAUUGGACAAUGGACCAAAAGUCUGAUCCAGCAAUUCUGUGUGCACGAUGACGUUUUUCGGAAUGUAAAGUGCUUUCAGUUGGGAAGAAAAAAAUGACGGUACCAACAGAAGAAGUGACGGCUAAAUACGUG